CUGGUGCGCUCGGGGAACCUGGAAAAAGCCAGUCUGGAGUUGGUGGUAAAAGCUUGAAAUGGCCACGAGGUCAAAUUAUUUGGGAAAAAGACCAAAUUGUUUUUUCGCGGCUAAAGCAGACCUCCCGUAAGAAAAACAAUGCACGAAAUCGGUCGGCAGGAACCGGCCCCGGUAAUGUGUUGGAUCUUCAGCGCCUCAUGCGACAUUAUUGGGUGCGGGACUUGUUUCAACCGAAACCAGGGGAUCAAAUUUUUCGGGAAGAUCCAUGGGAGUAACCGACUCCGAUUAUGUGCCAGGUCUUCUACGCCGACUUUUACGUUGGAGCAAGAUAAGUGCCUGGGAGGAACCUGUAACAUGCACUGUACAGAUAUGUCGAGGAAAAAGAAAAAACACGGAAGUUGAAGAUGGUCCCGAUUCCCGAGUUGAAAAGCAUCCGCUGAAAAGGACUCUGAAAUUUGACCUAAGCGAGAAGAAAAUACGGAACCGUAGGCUCAAAUCAAAG